GAUAAGCUACACCCAACAAUUGAUUUUUUCCAAGUUGAAAGAAGAAGAUUUAAGAUUUUACUAACCCUUAGCCUGAUUUUACGAUUCAACCUAAGGCUCAGGGGCUACUCCAUAUGGAAUGCGACUUUCGCCGCCUUCCAUAUAUGAAGAUUAUAGAAUCAAGAUGAUCAAAGGCUUUGAGCACACCAUAGCCUCAUGGCAGCUUUGAGAAACUUUGAAGAUUCAGCUAGAUAAAGUACUCGAAGACUACCAAAACUACUCGGUGAGGAUCUUAUAAGUACUCAAAGACUACUGCAUUCGACUAUGAAGCGCUCGGGGGCUUGUCAAGGAUAGAUCCUCAGUACCCGCAAGGAAGGAAGAAGAUGGACUCCUACUAGGAUUCCCCUGUAAUCCUACUAAGACUCAUACCAUGUAGCUGUGGCGGAACCGCCCAAAUUAACCUGACUAAAAUGCAUUGAAGUCGCCUGACACGCGAUUAUGCACUUUAAGCAAGUCAACUUGGUCGACCGUCGGAUUUCCUCCGAUAAACCACAUAAACAGGAUCGAGAAGCAUCGCUCACGCGAAGGUGAG
rnacentral:lncRNA from 1 species